rnacentral:rRNA from 1 species
CUUAACAUGCAAGUCGCGCGUGAAAGGACUUCGGUCCGAGUAAAGCGGCGCACGGGUGAGUAACGCGUGGAUGAUCUACCCAUGAGUUAGGAAUAACGGCUGGAAACGGUCGCUAAUACCAAAUACGCUCCGAUUUCAACUUCGGGGGAAAGGUGGCCUCUGCUUGCAAGCUACUGCUCAUGGAUGAGUCCGCGUCCCAUUAGCUAGUUGGUGGGGUAACGGCCCACCAAGGCGACGAUGGGUAGCCGGUCUGAGAGGAUGACCGGCCACACUGGGACUGGAACACGGCCCAGACUCCUACGGGAGGCAGCAGUGGGGAAUAUUGCGCAAUGGGCGAAAGCCUGACGCAGCGACGCCGCGUGAGGGAUGAAGGUCCUCGGAUCGUAAACCUCUGUCAGGAGGGAAGAACCGCCACGGUGCUAAUCAGCCGUGGUCUGACGGUACCUCCGAAGGAAGCACCGGCUAACUCCGUGCCAGCAGCCGCGGUAAUACGGAGGGUGCGAGCGUUAAUCGGAAUCACUGGGCGUAAAGCGCACGUAGGCUGCUUGGUAAGUCAGGGGUGAAAGCCCGCGGCUCAGCCGCGGAAUUGCCUUUGAUACUGCCGAGCUAGAGUCCGGGAGAGGGUAGUGGAAUUCCAGGUGUAGGAGUGAAAUCCGUAGAGAUCUGGAGGAACAUCAGUGGCGAAGGCGACUACCUGGACCGGUACUGACGCUGAGGUGCGAAAGCGUGGGGAGCAGACAGGAUAAGAUAC